ACACUGGAGUUUUUAGACUCCACAACCAGUGUCAGAGACUUGAAA
rfam:Gossypium raimondii chromosome 12, whole genome shotgun sequence.